AGCUCCUGUCGCCUAAGUGGUUAGAGCGUCCGCCUCAGAUGCAGGAGGUCGCAGGUUCCAAACCCGGCCGAGUCA